AUGGAGCACUUUACGUUCCGGCUCCUGCACACCGUCCGCACCCAGCUGACGACCGCUCGCGAGGUUUUGCGAGCC
rnacentral:sRNA from 1 species